UACGGGGGGGGCAAGCGUUGUUCGGAAUUACUGGGCGUAAAGGGCUCGUAGGCGGCCAACUAAGUCGGAUGUGAAAUCCCCAGGCUCAACCUGGGAACUGCAUCCGAUACUGGAUGGCUUGAAUUCGGGAGAGGGAUGCAGAAUUCCAGGUGUAGCGGUGAAAUGCGUAGAUAUCUGGAGGAACACCGGUGGCGAAGGCGGCAUCCUGGACCGGCAUUGACGCUGAACAGCGAAAGCCAGGGGAGCAAACGGG
rnacentral:rRNA from 1 species